rnacentral:rRNA from 1 species
AACGAACGCUGGCGGCGCGCCUAAUACAUGCAAGUCGAGCGAGAAGACGUAGCAAUACGUUUGUAAAGCGGCGAACGGGUGAGGAAUACAUGGGUAACCUACCCUCGAGUGGGGAAUAACUAGCCGAAAGGUUAGCUAAUACCGCGUACGCUCCUUGGACUUCGGUUCAGGGAGGAAAGCGAUACCGUGGGUAUCGCGCUCUUGGAUGGGCUCAUGUCCUAUCAGCUUGUUGGUGAGGUAACGGCUCACCAAGGCUUCGACGGGUAGCUGGUCUGAGAGGACGAUCAGCCACACUGGCACUGCGACACGGGCCAGACUCCUACGGGAGGCAGCAGUAAGGAAUAUUGCGCAAUGGGCGAAAGCCUGACGCAGCGACGCCGCGUGGGGGAUGAAGGUCUUCGGAUUGUAAACCCCUUUUCGGGAGGGAAGAUGGAACGAGCAAUCGUUCGGACGGUACCUCCAGAAGCAGCCACGGCUAACUUCGUGCCAGCCGCCGCAGUAAC